AUCUAACUGACGAGUCUCAAAUAGGACAAAAUGUAUGUCCUGGAU
rfam:Schistosoma curassoni strain Dakar, Senegal genome assembly, scaffold: SCTD_contig0001863